UGUAGAAUUGCUGGGCUAUGCAGUCAUUCUAUUUUUAACUUUUGAGGAAUUACCAGUUUUCCAAAGUGGUUGCAUCAUUUUAGAUCCCCAUUAGCAAU
rnacentral:pre_miRNA from 1 species